rnacentral:rRNA from 1 species
AUUGAACGCUGGCGGCAGGCCUAACACAUGCAAGUCGAGCGGAAACGAUGGAAGCUUGCUUCCAGGCGUCGAGCGGCGGACGGGUGAGUAAUGCAUGGGAAUCUGCCCGAUAGUGGGGGAUAACCUGGGGAAACCCAGGCUAAUACCGCAUACGUCCUACGGGAGAAAGCAGGGGAUCUUCGGACCUUGCGCUAUCGGAUGAGCCCAUGUCGGAUUAGCUUGUUGGUGAGGUAAUGGCUCACCAAGGCGACGAUCCGUAGCUGGUCUGAGAGGAUGAUCAGCCACAUCGGGACUGAGACACGGCCCGAACUCCUACGGGAGGCAGCAGUGGGGAAUAUUGGACAAUGGGCGAAAGCCUGAUCCAGCCAUGCCGCGUGUGUGAAGAAGGCCCUCGGGUUGUAAAGCACUUUCAGUGGGGAAGAAAGCCUUGGGAUUAAUACUCCCGAGGAAGGACAUCACCCACAGAAGAAGCACCGGCUAACUCCGUGCCAGCAGCCGCGGUAAUACGGAGGGUGCGAGCGUUAAUCGGAAUUACUGGGCGUAAAGCGCGCGUAGGCGGUCUGAUAAGCCGGUUGUGAAAGCCCCGGGCUCAACCUGGGAACGGCAUCCGGAACUGUCAGGCUAGAGUGCAGGAGAGGAAGGUAGAAUUCCCGGUGUAGCGGUGAAAUGCGUAGAGAUCGGGAGGAAUACCAGUGGCGAAGGCGGCCUUCUGGACUGACACUGACACUGAGGUGCGAAAGCGUGGGUAGCAAACA